UCAAGUUGAAUAAGUUUUAAUCAACUUACUUCAAGUCGUUGUCCAAAUCUUACCCCAAAAGCUCAACGAUGUCAACAAUUCAUAAUCUAUAUAUAUGAGUUCACAUAUAUUAAUAACGCGUCACAAUAAUACAAACUAAACCAACUAUGUGUUUAGCACUUAGGUUCAAUUUCACAAGUUUCACAAAAUCCUCAUUUCUCCAUUCAAAGGCCAAUCCUUGAGUUCUAACUCCAGUUCAUCCAUUAAAGAUGUUAUGGAAUCCAACCGUUCCAUUAGAAGCUCAAAACGAUACCGUUCAAAUAAAACUUAAUACUAUUCAUCAUCCCUACCAACAAACUCUUCAAUUUCAAUACAAGUUUUCUAGAGUAUCAUGAAUAAUAACAACAACAACAACAACAACAACAAUCCCACUAGUGGAGUCUGGGGAGGGUAAUGUGUACGCACACCUUAUCCCUACCCUGGGGUAGAGAGGCUGUUUCCGAUAGACUCUCGGCUCCCUCCCUCCAAAAACUCCACACCUUACUCUUGGAGUGACUCGAACUCACAACCUUUUGGUUGUAAGUGGAACGUGCGUACCACUAGAGCAACCCACUCUUGUCUACAGUAUCAUGAAUAUGUGUUUAAAUACCAAUCUUCCUUUACAAAUAUACUCUAUUAUGUCCAUGUAGUAUAAUAUAUAUGAUUGGAGUGAAGGGAUUACCUCUUUGACAAACCCUAAAAUUUCAAGACUUGAGUUCUUGAAAUGCUCUUGAGAGAUUCUCCAAGAAUCUAAGAAUUCCAUGUAAUUGAAGUGUUAGGAGAUGAAAUUAACGGACCAAAUCUAUCAAAAUAGGUAUUAAAAUCUUACUUCAAGAUGUCGUUAAUGGUGGAGAGUUCUCUCUUCUCUUUAAGACUUCAAGAAACAAGACCCAAAAUAAUAAUACAAGCUCCUCGUAAUUGCCUUUAAAGGCUUCAACAGUUGGA
rnacentral:lncRNA from 1 species